rnacentral:rRNA from 1 species
AGGGCACCACCAGGAGUGGAGCCUGCGGCUUAAUUUGACUCAACACGGGAAAACCUACCUGGUCAGGACACUGGAAGGAUUGACAGAUUGAGAGCUCUUUCUUGAUUCAGUGGGUGGUGGUGCAUGGCCGUUCUUAGUUGGUGGAGCGAGUUGUCUGGUUAAUUCCGAUAACGAACGAGACUCUAGCCUACUAAAUAGACUGCUCAACUUUAUAGCUGUAUCACCUUGCAGUUGCUUCGGUGGCUGUAAGGCUAUGGUGACGUUGGCAGUGCUUCUUAGAGGGACAGGCGGCGGUUCAGCCGCACGAAACAGAGCAAUAACAGGUCUGUGAUGCCCUUAGAUGUCCAGGGCCGCACGCGCGCUACACUGAAGUGAUCAGCGUGCAAUUAACGUUUCCUACUCCGUCAGGAGUGGGUAACCCGUUGAACCUUCUUCGUGAUUGGGAUAGGGGAUUGUAAUUAUUCCCCUUGAACGAGGAAUUCCCAGUAAGCGCAAGUCAUAAGCUUGCGUUGAUUACGU